GCCCCGUUCGUCUAGUGGCCUAGGACGUAGCCCUCUCAAGGCUAAAACAUGGGUUCGAGUCCCAUACGGGGCA
rnacentral:tRNA from 1 species